GGGUCCAUAGCUCAGUGGUAGAGCACUCGGCUCAUAACCGAUAGGUCGCAGGUUCGAUCCCUGCUGGACCCA
rnacentral:tRNA from 1 species